GACGAACGCUGGCGGCGUGCUUAACACAUGCAAGUCGAACGGAAAGGCCCUGCUUUUGUGGGGUGCUCGAGUGGCGAACGGGUGAGUAACACGUGAGUAACCUGCCCUUGACUUUGGGAUAACUUCAGGCAACUGGGGCUAAUACCGGAUAGGAGCUCCUGCUGCAUGGUGGGGGUUGGAAAGUUUCGGCGGUUGUGGAUGGACUCGCGGCUUAUCAGCUGGUUGGUGGGGUAGUGGCUUACCAAGGCUUUGACGGGUAGCCGGCCUGGGAGGGUGACCGGCCACAAUGGGACUGAGAGACGGCCCAGACUGCUACGGGAGGCAGCAGGGGGGAAUAUUGCACAAUGGGCGGAAGCCUGAUGCAGCAACGCCGCGUGCGGGAUGACGGCCUUCGGGUUGUAAACCGCUUUCGCCUGUGACGAAGCGUGAGUGACGGUAAUGGGUAAAGAAGCACCGGCUAACUACGUG
rnacentral:rRNA from 1 species